rnacentral:rRNA from 1 species
UACGUAGGCGGAAAAUUAAGUCAGUGGUGAAAUCCUGCAGCUUAACUGUAGAACUGCCAUUGAUACUGGUUUUCUUGAAUAUAGUUGAGGUAGGCGGAAUGUGUAAUGUAGCGGUGAAAUGCUUAGAUAUUACACAGAACACCGAUUGCGAAGGCAGCUUACUAAGCUAUGAUUGACGCUGAGGUACGAAAGCGUGGGGAGCGAACAGGAUUAGAUACCCUGGUAGUCC